AAUUGAGAAACUGUAUUAUUUACGACAAUAAUUUGUAUUAAAGCAAAAUUCUUCAUUAGAUAAAAUUUGUUCGAAACUUCCGGAUACUCUCACCGCCUUUUUUAAAUUGGGAAAACAACGAGACAUGCUAGAAGAGUAGUUCUACAGAAUAGCGUUUAGUCUAAGAGGUCCAGUAUUUGGUGUCACAGGGUGGUCACAGCCCUUCAAACUGUAAGGAAGGAUGAUGAAAAAGGUGUGGCACUAAUCAGUUAUGGGCCAAAUACAGUCUGAAGGGGCAAAAGAGAAAAGAGGCAUUCACAGGUCACCCUUUUGUGCAGAAUAAUCAUGAAAAGUUGUGCAAGAGUGUUCCCAAAAUCCAAGGUUGCCGAUAUGGAGGAGGUCUUAAUUCCUAAAACAGGCCCCACACAAGCCAUGAGGACAAAAAUAUAAGAAACCUGUAAGAAAAGGACUGAUGAUAUCGCAAGAAGAAUUGGAGUCUGAACAAAUAAAUCUGUUUAAAAGAACUUGAUUCU